UUCUAUACUGUAGGUCCUGGAAAGCCAUUUCAAACUACAAUGAUACCUAAUGUCUCAGAACAUGGGAGACAGAUUUCCUGAUAUCUUCUUUCUUGGGCAGAGGGGAAGGAAAUGAUCUUUAUCUAUGUUAACACCUAAAGCAGGGACUUCAUCCAGAGAAUAUUUGUAAUCACCCAUUAGGAUUCCCACAAGUCGAGGCAACUACAGUAGGGUUGGUAGCCUUUGGCAUCUAUAUACUAGGGAAACAAAGUGGGUGAGAAGCUUAUUUGCAGGGGCAGGAGGAGGGAUGGUGUUCCUCAGGCUUUAUUUAUAAAAGAAAUGGGAGGAAGGUACAUAUGACAAGCAAUGGUUCUCCUAAGUCCAGGAGACCAAGGGGUGGAAGGAACCCCUGCAUGUCUACAUGGAACACAACAGGUGUUCUGAGUGUUUAGGUGCCGACAUUAAAUGGCUUUAGCAGCAGUAGAGGUCAAUGAAAGGGCCCGGAUUGAAAAGAUGUGUGAGAACUAUCAGCUAGUUCACAAAACACAGCUCCACAGACUUCCUGUAACAACUGGGCAAACCACUGAAAGAGGACUGAGUGUUUGCCUUGUGCAAGCCAGGGGAAACUGAAUCAGGGGUUAGUGGGAAAGUAGUGGCCACCAAAAACAUAGGAGGUCUAGGGUAACUAGUUCAAUUUAGUGCAAGCUGUUCUUCCAGCACUUCAGGGGAUCAAUAAUGUUCUCUAGAUACAGAAGCCAUGUGGCCCCUCUAGUGGCUUGUACCCUCUUAAAGAUGGCACUCUUGAAUGUAGAAUCUUCAACGAUAGAUCAGGGAGAAGAGUUAUCAUUAUCAUCAUUGUGCCAAGAAAGAAAACAGAACACAGACAUCCAGUAAUUUAUACCAGCCAGACCAUCCUACGUCUUCCAGGCUUGCUUCUCUUGGAAAUCCAUUUCAGAAUAAUACCUGCCUCAGAUAAGGAGAAUCAACUGCACAUCUAUGUAAAGCAAGAAAAAAAGGAAGAGAAAGGAUUGGAUACUCACUGCAUCCCUCCGCACUUUUUUUCUUUGUAUUUUUAUUGCUGUUCAUUGCUUUAAGGAGAAAAGGGUAGCCUGUCUGAGCAAUGAGGUAAUGAAUAUGAAUCACCUGCCAUGACUCUGCUCUCUGAACACAACAUGGGACGUAAAUGAAAGCUCUGCAUAGCUCCAAGGAGCUGGCCUCACCCUCCCUUGAAUGCAGCUGGAUUGUCUCAGUGGCAGCAGAGAAGUGAAAAGAGAAGUCUGUACAGUGGAGAGAAUUCCCCCUUGUGAGUUACUAAACUUGCAAAACUUUGGAAAUUCAAGUCUUCUGACCAUUUUUCUUUUAAAAACAAAAUAGUCUUCAGGAAAUUACUUUUUUAAUUAAUUUAUUAUUUUUAUUUAUUUAUUUUUAAGUCCAAAGGCUAACAUUUUGGCCUCGUGACAGGUUUCUGAAAAAGUAAUUUCUUGACUUUAAUUAAUUUCUAAAUAAUUGUAUUUCUAGCCAGUGCAUAGAGGAUUAUAAGACAGACACAUGUCUACAGAAAGAAAAAGGCAUUGGCUGUCAUGGACAAUCCUCCUGGCUCUCUCGAAGCUCAAUGAGAAUGAUAUUCAUAUAAAUAAUUACAAAUUUGAGUCUCCCAAGUAAGGAAGAGCUGUCUGAGUCAGUGUAUGCAUCAGUAUGGAGGGAUAAGGGUGCACAUAUGGAAUUGGACACUCAUUUCUGUAGAAUGAUGACAGUAUCAAUAUUAAUCAAAUGAAUAGAGAAUUUGCAAAUGUCACCAGUUUUCCUCCAGGUCCCCAUAGUGCUUAUGGUACUGAAUCCCCGUUGCCGGAUAGAAGUAGAAA